rnacentral:rRNA from 1 species
AUGUGGGUACAAAGGAUUGGCCCGUCGUUUCCAUUGUUUAGAAGAAAGAAAAAAAUGUGUUCGCUUGCCCUGCCCUCAUUCCCCAUCCGCACAUCCCUCUCCCUCCCUCGUCUGCCGCCGCCACCACCACCACCGGCGACCUCCUCCAUGGUUGCCACCCCACCCCCUUCUCUCCCCCCUUACCUUCUCCUCAUCAGCGACCUCCUUCCCUCCCCCUCACCGGAUCCGAGGCGUGCGGGCGCGGAGGCGAGCUUCUUCAGCGGUGUCCGCCUCCCUCUCAUCUCCUCUGCUACUGCUCCGCCUCUCCAACCGCCCCGGGUCGCAGCCGCACCGCACGACGGCAGGCCAGGCGAGCUGCACCGCACCAGGUGGGCUAGGGCGAUCUCCAACGCGAGCGCGCGCACCCGUUGCCCACGCCAGCGUGGUCCCCGGCCCCGAGCAACAGGAACACAUGGUUCCUACCCGGGUCGCCGUAGCCGACACCGUCAAAGAGAGGUGGCGGUGUGGACAAGGACGCCAUGGCUGUCUUCGCCGAGAGCGUCCGCAUCUUCAUCCACUGUCUCUCCACCAUUGGAGGAAGAAUUUGGUUAUUUGGAGUGUGCACUGGAGUUAUUGGAAGAUAAUUCCAUUACUAGAUCACAACUUUUGGGACAUAAGUACAGGUGCCGCACCUGGUUAUGCCCCUGCCCGUCGUACAGUCUAAUCUCCCUCCCCCUUGCCUCCUACCUUCUCUCUUCAGCUCCUCUAUUUAUUUGUGCAAGUUCUUUUUUGUUUAUACCUAGAAGGCAUUAUUAUGUCACCAUGAACAUUGGGGAUCCGGCCAAGCCUUACUUCCUGGGUAGCCCAAGUUUGCUUGACUGUUGGUUAUAUUGUAAUUUGAUUUCCCGCUUCUCCGUAGAACAAAGGAGGAGGAAAGGAAAAAGGCUUUUUGUGGUGAUCGGGAUCAAUACCGCCUUCGGUAGCAAGAAGCGUCGUGAUUCUGUCAGGGGGACCUGGAUGCCUCAAGGUGCGUGUUGUUUUGAGAGCUUGAAGCAAGCAGAACGCCUAAGGAGCGUCCUGGGGAUGACAGAGGCAUUGGCGACGACAUCAGGCGAGAGAAUUCAUCAAAAUUCUAUACCUGACAGUCAUGAUAUGAUGGAUCUGGACGAACCAUUUGAUCCCACGUUUAGUCGACCUAUGGGCAACCAUUUUGGUAAUUACGAGAUACACCCUGAUAUGGAUCGCCUUCCAGAGUUCAUGUUAACUCUAGGAAAUGAUAUGAAGACGACAUCGAUCAAGAGCUGCUUGCACAACCAGAGGCGGCAUGGGCUCAACGCAAGUGGACCAUCAUCCAGCACGUCUUGUUCCUGUCCAUGCGACAUUUCCUCAUACAUGAGGGCUACAUCAUUUACAAAUUUUGAUUAUGUACGCCUACAAGGAGAAACUGUGGUACAACACUUCAACACGGCACAGGAGGCAGAUCAGGGCAACUUCAAGGAUAAGGCAACAUCUGCAGACCUGGAGGUGGUUGAGGUGACCUUGCUGUUGGAGUGUGAAUUCAGUACAGGAGGAGCAUGUCCUAGCCCGGAACCGGAACGCGCUACGCGCCACAGCAGGAGGCUGAGGCAUCUACAAGCUCAUCGAGGAAAGCUUAAGAUUGCUUCUGUAGACAAGCUUUACAAGAUCUUCGAGAGAGGCCAGCUAACACGUAGGCCAUCAGUCACUUCAUAUGUAGAGAAGGGAUGGACAGCGCGACUGACGCCUUUGCUGGUUCCUUCUGGCACGUGUAUAUAUAAUGUGGUGGCACUAUCAAAGUUGAAACACAUCGGGUCAUCCCUCCUCGGUAAAGGGGUUAGUUUGUUUGUUCUUUCAUCAGCUCACUCCAAGCUUGAUUACAUGGAGCAUUAUGAAAAGGUUCCUUGGAUCUUCUUGGUCUGCAACAACUGUUGA